CUGGCAGGAGGAUCUGCAGAUGACCCAAACAGGGAAGCAUUCAAGCCUUUGUCCAGUUUCCCUGACAUCUAUGGACCUGACACGGUUCAACUAAAACUACAACUGGCAAUGGACACGGAAGAAGCUGAUGAUCCGGAUGACCUUGAUAAAGACAUCGAUGAGGUGGACAAUGACACCAGUCGGUGGAGACUUCAUAACUGGUUCUCAUUACAUGAAUAGAGGACUGAUCGGGUUUAAUGAAACAGUUGUUUUAAUGUCUGACCUAAGUGGAUGUGGAAACCCUCUGUUGAACCUGUCGUAUAUAGACAAGGUGGAAGUAACUGGCCACGGACAUCAGAUAUAAGUGAUAUCUUUCAGUUAUUUGGAUUUGUGGUCCGUCUGUUCUGUGUUUCAUUUUAUUAAGUUUAUUAAUAGUUUAGCUGUUAGAGUUGGUACUUUUAUGUACUUAAACAAGUAAUAACUUAAUGUAAACCUGCAUUUGACCAUGUAAUAGGCCUCGGUAUUGUAUAUAUAUAUAUAGAGUGUCCAUGACUUAAUAGUUUGUAUACUUCUGCCUGAGACCAUAAACAAUAUUUUCCUAUAUGACUGACAUUUAAUAUUUGAAAUUGUUUGUUUUCAAUUCCAUAUUCAUCAUAUUGCUCAACAAAGAAGACUGUGAUACAUGUUACGUAGCUUUAACAAUGAAUAAAAUCUUUUAAUAUAGCCCUGUUACAUAUCAAUAACUUUGAAGACGUGAAACUGCCGAUAUAUCCAUAGCAAGAUGCAAAAGGACCCCACCGAACACCCUUGAUCAAGCUCACGUUGGUACUGAAAUGAUCGAGUGUUGUUAUACACCGAAGUCAUCAAUAGUCCAGUUAUAUCACAGGUUCACUGAACAAUUGUGUCUGGACCAGUAGCCAUAGACAGCAUUCCAUGUGUUUUGGUUUGGCAAGGAUAAUGACCUAAACCGGGUGUUUAUCCUUACGUUUUUCUUGAACACCAGGUUUCAGCACUAAGCCAGAGAUUUCCACUACCAAUGAACCUGUUUCUGUGUUUAUUAAAAGCUGGUUCGUU